CGGCUAAAAAUAAACUAAAUAGGUCCAAACAAACAAUUCAACACACUGGUGGCUCCAAGCCACAUGGAAUAUGCAAAAGAGAUGCUAGCCGAAACAGGAAGAUUCCCUGAACGGCAUGAAGUAUUUCUUAGGACCAGGACAAAGAAAAGAAAAACAUCAGAUCCAAAUGAAGAAGUGAUGGAUCCUGUUGCUUCUGAACAAUACGAUCGAAUGGUGGAAAUACACAACCAGGCUAACCAACCUGGAUCUGGAGUCGUUUUAGGUGGUUGAAAUGAUGCAUUUGCAGCUGUUAUGGGACCAGAUAGACGUGGUCGGAUUCGUUGCUUUGGCAGCACUGUGAAGCCGAAACAGUUUUGGGGCGAGUCAUCAUCAUCAAGUAGAGUUGUUCAAUUGAAAGAGUAAAAUGCAAUGCUCAAACGAAGGGUUGCAGAAUUGGAGGCUCAAGUUGCAGUAUUACCACCAAACCAGAACAAUGAAGGACUCGAGGAUAUGUGAUAUGGAAAGGUGCAGGAAGGGUUAGUUUCCAGAUAUUAACAGAUGAUAAAAUAGCACUCAAACGCCGCAGGCCACUGAUUGUAGUUAACAGAUGAUAAACAGAGACACCAUCUACUGUAGAGAGUGUAUGAACCUAAAUUUUUGCUUGUUUUUUGAGAAUGGGAGGUCUCUUUUGCAAACAAAUAACAUGGUUUUUGAGUAUCUAUAGAAAAAUAAUCUUCUAUGAAUUCGUCUA